rnacentral:rRNA from 1 species
GCCAGCUAAGGUCCCAAAGUCAUGGUUAAGUGGGAAACGAUGUGGGAAGGCCCAGACAGCCAGGAUGUUGGCUUAGAAGCAGCCAUCAUUUAAAGAAAGCGUAAUAGCUCACUGGUCGAGUCGGCCUGCGCGGAAGAUGUAACGGGGCUAAACCAUGCACCGAAGCUGCGGCAGCGAACGUAUCACUUAAAGCGAUUCAGCGGGUUACGAUUGACGGAGCGAAGCGACGUCAAAGCGUAUACAAAGUCGAGUCGGUUUAAGGAUACGUUCGUUGGGUAGGGGAGCGUUCUGUAAGCCUGCGAAGGUGGCCUGUGAGGGUUGCUGGAGGUAUCAGAAGUGCGAAUGCUGACAUAAGUAACGAUAAAGCGGGUGAAAAGCCCGCUCGCCGGAAGACCAAGGGUUCCUGUCCAACGUUAAUCGGGGCAGGGUGAGUCGACCCCUAAGGCGAGGCCGAAAGGCGUAGUCGAUGGGAAACGGGUUAAUAUUCCCGUACUUGGUGUUACUGCGAAGGGGGGACGGAGAAGGCUAUGUUGGCCGGGCGACGGUUGUCCCGGUUUAAGCGUGUAGGUGUGUGUUCCAGGUAAAUCCGGUUCACUUUAACACUGAGGCGUGAYGACGAGGCACUACGGUGCUGAAGCAACAAAUGCCCUGCUUCCAGGAAAAGCCUCUAAGCAUCAGGUAACAUCAAAUCGUACCCCAAACCGACACAGGUGGUCAGGUAGAGAAUACCAAGGCGCUUGAGAGAACUCGGGUGAAGGAACUAGGCAAAAUGGUGCCGUAACUUCGGGAGAAGGCACGCUGACAYGUAGGUGAAGUGAUUUACUCAYGGAGCUGAAGUCAGUCGAAGAUACCAGCUGGCUGCAACUGUUUAUUAAAAACACAGCACUGUGCAAACACGAAAGUGGACGUAUACGGUGUGACGCCUGCCCGGUGCCGGAAGGUUAAUUGAUGGGGUCAGCGCAAGCGAAGCUCCUGAUCGAAGCCCCGGUAAACGGCGGCCGUAACUAUAACGGUCCUAAGGUAGCGAAAUUCCUUGUCGGGUAAGUUCCGACCUGCACGAAUGGCGUAAUGAUGGCCAGGCUGUCUCCACCCGAGACUCAGUGAAAUUGAACUCGCUGUGA